GCUCCAUGUCGCCCUCGGUCGCCAGGAUUCGCUGUACUGUCUGCAAGACGUUGGUUGCCAUGGUGACGUCCCCACAGACAAACAUGUGGCCCCGCUCGAGGCACAGCACGCGGUGCACUUCAGCAGCUAGCUCAGUCCUCAGGAUGUCCUGCACGUCGCGCUCAGGGUUCCGCACCUUAGGGCUGUUGGGUUCCCGGGAAAAGGCGGUGAGAACGCUGUCGAACACCCCUCGCUGCUGGGCGUCCUGCACCUCGUCGCGGUAGAGAUGGUCAAGUUGGGAACAUCGACAGCCAAAUACCAAAGUCAUGGGUGUGGGCUGCAGCCCUGCGAACAACACUGGGGCUUGGGAGGGUCCUAUUUCCCGGGGUAUCCCUGGCGACACCGGCCACCCUUUCCCAGGCCGACAGCCCGCCGUUUUGGGGCUGAAACACCACAAACAUGGCUGUUUAGAUUCCUGCAUAGACACUGUAGCAUCUCUGACUUACAGAGAAGGAAACCCCAGCUUUUGGGUGGCCCCAGAUUAAGCCCACAUCCUCAGUCUUCCUCUCAGUCACAGCCCCCUUGAGUGACACCUCAUGUUCAGUCUAAACACCCUAUCCCUUCUUUAAGCCUUGGUCACACCUGGGUGAACCCUGGCACAGUCCAGAAUCCUCCUUGGGGAUUUCUUCUGAGUCCCAGCUCCAUCCCUUCCAAACCCCCAUUUGCUUUUGUCCUUAAUCUGGUUUAACACCUAUAUGCCAGGCACCAGGAAGCAGAUGAACUGGGCCAGCUCUUCUCCCAGGCCUUCUGUCUUGGCCUAGUAAGCUUCCCUUCACCUUUGGCUCCAGUUUCUUGCCCUCUCUGUCCUCCCUCUUCCUGCCUUCUAGCCCCACCCCUUUGUCCCUCCCUCCUGCCUUUCAAGUCAGUCCCUGAGGGCCAGCCUCACCUUUGCUCUCAAUGUCAUGCAGCCUCUCCUGCCAGAAUCCCCGGAAGGGGGCAAUGCCGGUGCCUGGGCCCACCAGAAUGCAGGGCAAGCUGGGGUCAAGUGGGAGCCCCGGAAGGAAGGAGCCCCUAGUCGGGAGAGACUCCAUCAGGUUUCCCUGUAUCCCCUUUCUUACCACCCAAGGUCCAAUGACAAAUGCAUUAAUAUUUAUAAGUCCUCAGAGCAGUGUGGGUCAUGGUAAGACUAUGUAAUUGUUUACUAAAAGAAUUCUGCUCACAGCCAGAAACUCUCUGGGCCUGUGAUGUUUAGGGAUUGGACCAGCAGAAAAUACAGUUUGGGAUGAAAGAUACUUAGAUAACUAAGUUUAGGGGAUUUAAAAAA
rnacentral:lncRNA from 1 species